UUUAAUUGAAGAGUUUGAUCAUGGCUCCGAUUGAACGCUGGCGGCAGGCCUGACCCAUGCCAGUCGAACGGCAACAGGGCGCAGCUUGCUGCUCUGCUGAAGAG
rnacentral:rRNA from 1 species